UAGGGAGUCUUCGGCAAUGGACGAAAGUCUGACCGAGCAACGCCGCGUGAGUGAAGAAGGUUUCGGAUCAUAAAACUCUGUUGGUAGAGAAGAACGUUGGUGAGAGUGGAAAGCUCAUCAAGUGACGGUAACUACCCAGAAAGGGACGGCUAACUACGUGCCAC
rnacentral:rRNA from 1 species